CUGUUGCCACAAGAGAAAGCAGCA
rnacentral:piRNA from 1 species